GGGAGGCUUUGAAGUGUGGACGCCAGUCUGCAUGGAGCCGACCUUGAAAUACCACCCUUUAAUGUUUGAUGUUCUAACGUGGACCCGUGAUCCGGGUUGCGGACAGUGUCUGGUGGGUAGUUUGACUGGGGCGGUCUCCUCCUAAAGAGUAACGGAGGAGCACGAAGGUUGGCUAAUCCUGGUCGGACAUCAGGAGGUUAGUGCAAUGGCAUAAGCCAGCUUGACUGCGAGCGUGACGGCGCGAGCAGGUGCGAAAGCAGGUCAUAGUGAUCCGGUGGUUCUGAAUGGAAGGGCCAUCGCUCAACGGAUAAAAGGUACUCCGGGGAUAACAGGCUGAUACCGCCCAAGAGUUCAUAUCGACGGCGGUGUUUGGCACCUCGAUGUCGGCUCAUCACAUCCUGGGGCUGAAGUAGGUCCCAAGGGUAUGGCUGUUCGCCAUUUAAAGUGGUACGCGAGCUGGG
rnacentral:rRNA from 1 species